rnacentral:misc_RNA from 1 species
GAUGAAGAACGUAGCGAAAUGCGAUAAGUAGUGUGAAUUGCAGAAUUCAGUGAAUCAUCGAAUCUUUGAACGCACAUUGCGCCCUUUGGUAUUCCAAAGGGCAUGCCUGUUCGAGCGUCAUUUGUACCCUCAAGCUUUGCUUGGUGUUGGGCGUCUUGUCUCUAGCUUUGCUGGAGACUCGCCUUAAAGUAAUUGGCAGCCGGCCUACUGGUUUCGGAGCGCAGCACAAGUCGCACUCUCUAUCAGCAAAGGUCUAGCAUCCAUUAAGCCUUUUUUUCAACUUUUGACCUCGGAUCAGGUAGGGAUACCCGCUGAACUCAAGCAUAUCAAUAAGCGGAGGA